rnacentral:misc_RNA from 1 species
AAUUCUCAACCUCUCUCACUUUUGUGGUGGAGGCUUGGACUUGGAGGUCGUGUCGGGUUGCGAAAGUCGACUCCUCUGAAAUGCAUUAGUGCGAGCCUUACGGAUCGCUUCGGUGUGAUAAUUGUCUACGCCGUGGUGUGAAGUAUCUCUGUGUUCGCGCUUCUAACCGUCCGCGAGGACAACUUUUAACAU